UAAAUCUCUUCAAAUAUUUUACAGAGUUUGACUCUCUUUGUUGACUACUAGGACCAGCAACCUGGGAAAGUGAUGGCUCAUCAGACUGGACUCAGCUGCCAGGGGAGUGGGCCUGCCACUGUGAGCCUAUCUGAGCUGGGGGUGGGUCAGGGGACUGAGUAGCUCUAUAUGAUGAGUGAGAGUUGGCGGGAAGAAUCUCACUUUUUGUAUUUUGGCAAGAAUUUGAAAUCUCAGGGGUCUGAGUCAUGCUGUAGUCUCACCACAGGCCUCAGGGGAGUCAACUUCUGACCUGGAGGCCUGGUCUGGGUUUGUGGUGUCUGAGUCAUAGUUCGUGUGAUAAAAGUACGUGCUCUGGUGUGGAAAGCAGGCAGAGGCUUUUUCACUCCAUUCUGUCUCACUGACAAUGAAAAUGCUAGCUGUGACCCACCACAUGGGUUUCAUGACCCACGAAUGGACCAGGCAGCUGUUUAGAAAACACUGCGGCUCAAUUUCUGCCCUCUCUGAGGGGUGUUCUAGAAAUCUGUAUGGCUGCUGGAUUGGAAAGAAAAGAGCAAUUGCAUGAGGAAUUGGGAAGUGAGGACAAACAGAGAAGAAGCCUCAGCUACUAUCUCUAAAAUAUUAUCUGAGAAAGAAAACAAACAAACAAACAACAAACACAUUUCUUUUCCUGAGGAAGGUGAGCCUUUAAAUUAUCAGGCCCAGAGAACAUUUAGAACAGAACAGCAGUCAUGGCUCACUUCCCCUUCAGCUAAGUGGUUACCUCUUGAAGCCACUUGCUAUGUGGCUGUAGAAUAACUGAGGCCAAUUAGCCAUAAGAUGCCAUCCACCCUAUAGUUCAACACUGUGUGGGCAAUCACUAACCAAUGUUAUUUCUGUAAACCAAUGAGGAUUCCUGACAACUCUGCAAUCGCCCCAUCUCCUGAGUUGUUCUUUUUUCUUUAAAAACUUGAGCCUCCUUUUUGUUCUUGGAGCACUCCCCAUGGCAACUUAGAAGUGUGUCCUGGGCUACAGUCCUCAACCUGGGCACAAAUAAACUCUCUAUGUUAAUUUUGUCUCAUCUUUCUUUUAGGUAGACACAUUAGCUUUGGGAGAAUUUCAAAGAGUUUGAAGUUACUUAGAUUUGGGAAACCUGAAGGGCAGUGGUGUGUCACUAUCUGGUGUGGCCUGGCCUUCAGCCUCUCAGCCCCUUCCCUCCCCACCUCUCAGAGCUCAGGGCCAACUGCAUCUCUGAAAGAGCCCAAAGACCUUGUUGAGGAGCAGGGGGAUCCUGGCUGAGCCUGCAAGCCCUGGGUCUCUUCCAGACUUUCCUGCCUCUAGCAGCUGCUGCUCUAGGUGGCCAUUGGUGGGCUGCAUUUGCUCUCUGCUUGCAAACAUUGAUGACACAGGUCACCAAACUUACUGGAAAGGCGUCCUGAUCCUGAGCCCUAGAGAAAGUUCUUGGAUCUCCUACAAGAAAGAAUUUGGGGUGAGUCCACAGAGAACAGUAAAAGGAAGUUUAUUAAGAAAGGAAGGGAAUAAAAGAGUGGCUACUCCAUAGGCAGAGCAUCCCCAAGGGCUGCUGGUGGGUAUUUUUUAUGAUUACUCUUGAAUAUGUGCUAAGCAAGGGGUGGAUUAUUCCUGAGUUUUCCAAGAAAGGGGUGAGUUAUUUGGUUAUUCCCCCUUCCCUUUUACAAGGGAACCCUUAAUCCUAAGGGUUGUAGAGUCAGGAAAUAUGUCAGCAGGAGUCGACUCAGAGACUCUUCAUCUUGAAUAGGAGCUGGGUAAAAUGAGGCUGAGAUCUGCUGGAGUGCAUUCCCAGGAGGUUAGGCAUCCUUAGUCACAGGAUGAAAUAGAAGGUUGGCAGGUGGUAUCACAAGAUACAGGUUACAAAGACCUUGCUGAUGAAACAGGAUGCAGUAAAGAAGCCAGCCAAAACUGGCCAAAACCUGCCAAAAACCAGCA
rnacentral:lncRNA from 1 species